GUUUUAAUACAAAUAUUUUAGCGUAACGGUAGUCGGCCAUCAGUGUAAAAAAAUCACGUCGCACCCGGCUCUCAAGAUUUGAUUUUGUUGUGAAAUAGUCUUUACUUAUAAUAUUAUCGUCUAUUGUGCGAUUGUAAACUUGUUUUGCUGUUUAUUCAUUUAUUUUGCGAUCGUUGUUUGUCUUUUGUCGUUUUCUAUUUAUUGCCGUAGCAUUGUCCGUUCAUUUUUGACAGUCAUGUGCGUUUGACUUUAAAUAAUCCUUCUGAUAUCCUUACUUUUUAUUUUAUAAUAUCUGUUUUAUAACAUUUUCGUUCAUAACUGGUUUUAAAAACCAGCAGCUUUUGUUUAAAAUAGAGUUUUAAUAUUAUUGCAGAAGAAUAAGAAGAUGACAAUGAAUUCAUUCAAAUUAUAAUUUACAAGUCUUUAAAUUUAUUUCAAGUACACCCUUGUACAUUUUUCUAUCGCGCAGAAUAAUUUGUACUUGAAAUAAAUUUAAAGAUUAUGACUCAGUUACCAAUAUUGUACAGCAUAAUAAAACAGCUUUAAUUCGAAUUUCACCAAGAAGGACAUUUCCGAUGAUUAAAAAAAUAAUUAGCAAAAUCUGUCAAGUUUCAUUAAAAACGGAAAACAAUUCUUCACCGUAAACGAUUUACCCUCUUUAAUUUUUU
rnacentral:lncRNA from 1 species